rnacentral:lncRNA from 1 species
AAUGCAAAAGUAGAUAGAGAAGCAAUAAUACAUAUAAACAGAGAAUAAAGAAAUUACGUUUAUUUUUCAUUAAACUACUCAAGAACAUACUAACAUACUUAUAUGUAUAUGUAUAAACGAAGAUUUAUAAAUAUUUAUUUAUAAAUGUGUGCGUGUGCGAAUAGCUGUGUAAGCUUGCCAAAGUGUGCAUAGGUAACUAAAGUACACAGCUUGUUUCGCCAUCGAAUUCACUUGAUCGGGAUCUUUGGUACCAAGCACUGAUGACAGCACAGCAGCUAAGAUGUUCUGUUGCAAGCGAGAAACCACACAAAACCAAUAAUUCCACACACCAUUCAGUUUGAGAUAGUUUUCAAUAUUUUAUGUAUCGAUUUGUUUUGUACAAGAACAACAAAAAUAAUGGUAAAACA